CAGGCCGUGUUCCUGCCGCAGGGCUUCCCUGAUAGCGUCAGCCCGGACUACUUGCCCUACCAGCUGUGGGAUUCCGUGCAGGCCUUUGCUUCCAGCCUCUCCGGCUCCCUAGCCACCCAGGCAGUCUUGCUGGGCAUAGGGGUGGGGAACGCAAAAGCCACUGUUUCAGCUGCCACGGCCACCUGGCUCGUGAAAGAUUCAACUGGCAUGCUGGGCCGCAUCGUCUUUGCCUGGUGGAAAGGGAGCAAACUGGACUGCAAUGCCAAGCAGUGGAGGCUUUUUGCGGACAUCCUCAAUGACGUAGCCAUGUUCCUUGAGAUUAUGGCUCCUGUAUACCCAAUCUGUUUCACCAUGACCGUCUCCACCAGCAACCUGGCCAAGGUAGCCACUUGUGGGGGUACCCAUCUGUCUAAGACACCUGCCUUGGUAGUGUGUGAGUUU
rnacentral:sRNA from 1 species